AUUGAACGCUGGCGGCAGGCCUAACACAUGCAAGUCGAACGGUAACAGGAAGCAGCUUGCUGCUUCGCUGACGAGUGGCGGACGGGUGAGUAAUGUCUGGGAAGCUGCCUGAUGGAGGGGGAUAACUACUGGAAACGGUAGCUAAUACCGCAUAAUGUCGCAAGACCAAAGAGGGGGACCUUCGGGCCUCUUGCCAUCGGAUGUGCCCAGAUGGGAUUAGCUUGUUGGUGGGGUAACGGCUCACCAAGGCGACGAUCCCUAGCUGGUCUGAGAGGAUGACCAGCCACACUGGAACUGAGACACGGUCCAUACUCCUACGGGAGGCAGCAGUGGGGAAUAUUGCACAAUGGGCGCAAGCCUGAUGCAGCCAUGCCGCGUGUAUGAAGAAGGCCUUCGGGUUGUAAAGUACUUUCAGCGGGGAGGAAGGGAGUAAAGUUAAUACCUUUGCUCAUUGACGUUACCCGCAGAAGAAGCACCGGCUAACUCCGUG
rnacentral:rRNA from 1 species